UCUUGAAAGAGCCUCGGCUGAGGCUUUCUCCUGUAACUUCUUAGACUCAAGACAAAAAAGGAGGUCUUCUAGCAGAUCAUAUCCCAGCCUUGAAAUCCAGGAGAAUGGAUACUCCAGAGACUGCCAUGGUGCACUUGGAGGGACAUCAAGUUCUCGGCAUUGCCAGAGCCCAAGGUUGCUCUCUCAAGAUGUAAGAUCUCAGCUAUUGUCCCAGCACCAUGCCUGCCUGCUUGCCUGUUGCUGCCAUGCUCCCAGCUAUGAUGAUCAUGGACCCUAACCUUCUGAAACUGCAAGACCGAUAAGAGCACCCUUCAUCUGGGUCCCCAGCAAUCUGUCCUGUUCUACUGUGGGUGGAGAAUAGCACCGUGCUGGGUGGCUGUGUGACACAUGGAGCCACAUGGCUAGGUCUUGCACAACAGAAGAGGAAGCAGGGAAAUACAGCUUAAAUGAGUGUCAGCGGCUGGCAGGAUGGCUCGGUGAAGAAGGACAGUUGCUGGCAAGAUUGAAGUGUUCAGUACCUGGAUCCCACUUGGUAGAAACUGAAAUCCAGCUCUAGCAAGUUGUCAUCUGACCUCCACAGGCCAGUAUCACCAGCCUCUGCCUUGCCUCCAUCUGCCACCGUGGACCCCAUCUCUCAGGACCCGUGAGCUAAAACAAACCCUUGCUUCCUGAGGUGGCUUUUGGUCAGGGUGUUUUAUCAUAGCUACAGAGAAGCAACUAAUACACUCUGCUGGCUUAUAGGUUGACUUUUGAAAAAAACAACAGAAAAAGAGAGAUGAGAAAGUGAUCAACUGUGACCGUAGAUUGGAUGUACAGUUUAAUCUGUAAAAGAGCAGAUGCUAUGGAUGGAAGGAGUAUGUCUCUGGAAUGGGUAUUUUUUGGAAACUUUGAAAUUAUUCUGAAGUAAUAAUCCCUCUAGCAAACUAAUGUACAAGAAAGAAAAGUAAAAAUAGUUAAAGGAUUAAUUCUAAAUUGUAUACCAGGG
rnacentral:lncRNA from 1 species